rnacentral:ribozyme from 13 species
AGAACAAGAGAGACAAAUAAGAGAAAAAGAAGCAAGAGAAGAAGAAGAAGGACCCUCAUUAAAUCGAAUUGGUGAAAAUCCAAACCCUUUCAUUUCACUCAAUCCUUUCUGCCCCCCUCUCUCUUUCUCUCUCUCCAAUUGAUCCCCGGGUCCCCCGCUCUUACUUGGAACAGCAAACAUGGAAUGAGAAGAAGAAGAAGAAGAAAGAACAGAAGAAAUAGCAGAAUUUCCCCACUCCCAAUCAUGGUCUUCCUCUCCUUCUCCUUCUUGUAAAU